rnacentral:rRNA from 1 species
AGUGAACGCUGGCGGUAGGCCUAACACAUGCAAGUCGAACGGCAGCACAGUAAGAGCUUGCUCUUACGGGUGGCGAGUGGCGGACGGGUGAGGAAUACAUCGGAAUCUACUUUUUCGUGGGGGAUAACGUAGGGAAACUUACGCUAAUACCGCAUACGACCUACGGGUGAAAGCAGGGGCUCUUCGGACCUUGCGCGAUUGAAUGAGCCGAUGUCGGAUUAGCUAGUUGGCGGGGUAAAGGCCCACCAAGGCGACGAUCCGUAGCUGGUCUGAGAGGAUGAUCAGCCACACUGGAACGGAGACACGGUCCAGACUCCUACGGGAGGCAGCAGUGGGGAAUAUUGGACAAUGGGCGCAAGCCUGAUCCAGCCAUACCGCGUGGGUGAAGAAGGCCUUCGGGUUGUAGAGCCCUGUUGUUGGGAAAGAAAAGCAGCAGGUUAAUACCCCGCUGUUCUGACGGUACCCAAAGAAUAAGCACCGGCUAACUUCGUG